rnacentral:rRNA from 1 species
GACGAACGCUGGCGGCGUGCUUAACACAUGCAAGUCGAACGGAAAGGCCCUGCUUUUGUGGGGUGCUCGAGUGGCGAACGGGUGAGUAACACGUGAGUAACCUGCCCUUGACUUUGGGAUAACUUCAGGAAACUGGGGCUAAUACCGGAUAGGAGCUCCUGCUGCGUGGUGGGGGUUGGAAAGUUUCGGCUGUUGGGGAUGGACUCGCGGCUUAGUAGCUUGUUGGUUGGGUAGUGGCUCACCAAGGCGACGAUGGGUAGCUGGCCUGAGAGGGUGAUCGGCCACACGGGAACUGAGACACGGUCCAGACUCCUACGGGAGGCAGCAGUGGGGAAUAUUGGACAAUGGGCGCAAGCCUGAUCCAGCCAUACCGCGUGGGUGAAGAAGGCCGUCGGGUUGUAAAGCCCUUUUGUUGGGAAAGAAAAGCAGCAGGUUAAUACCCCGCUGUUCUGACGGUACCCAAAGAAUAAGCACCGGCUAACUUCGUG